rnacentral:tRNA from 1 species
CAUUAAGUGGCUGAAUUUUAAGCAUUGGUCUCUUAAACCAAAACAUAGUAAACUAAACCCUACUCUUAAUGG